GGUAAUCUGCUGUGGUCUUUUUCCACGGUUUGGAAGCUUUAUUUUUUUGCUCUUUGCAAUAAAUAUUGUUGCUGCUAAUUCUUUGAGUCCACACUGCUUUUGUGAGUUGUAGCACUCACCCGAAGGUUUGCAGCUUCACUCCUGAAGCCAGUGAGACCACGAACCCAACGAGAGGAACGAAGAAUUCCAGACGCGCUGCAUUAAGAGCUGUAACACUCACUGCGAAGGUCUGCAGCUUCACUUUUGAAGCCAGCAAGACCACGAACCCAUCAGAAGGAAGAAACUCCAAACACAUCCGAGCAGCAGAAGGAACAAACUCCGGACACGCUGCCUUUAAGAACUGUGACACUCAGAGCGAGGGUCUGCGGCAUCACAUUUGAAGUCAGUGAGACCAAGAACCCACCGAUUCCGGACGCGAGCAGGUUGCUUCAGGGUAUAGACAUUUGGCACAGUACUGCAGCAUAAACCCAUCAAGAUUAAGGAAACCAUGGGGGCCGAGCAUGGUGGUUCACACCUGUAAUCCCAGCACUUUGGAAGGUUGAGCUGAGUGGAACCCUCACUCAGGUGGCGCAUCAAGAUUGCUGCUUGUCAAUACAGACAACUGGGAUAACCGAGGCCUCUAAACCAGCCAGAACACUCACGGAUUCUGUAGUAGUCAGUCCUCAAGUUUGUUGGUGUGACCCUGAAGGCAGCGCUUCAUCCUCUAACUUACCUACGCAUCCACACUGGGCUCCAUAUGAAUGGCAGCUGGUCGUCUACUUCACAAUUUAACUUGGGAUCAAAUGUGCUCUUCUGGAAGCUGACUUUAAGGCAGGGAAUGUUCAGGGUAGCUGAAAUCUGCAGAAGCUGGCAGCCUGGGAGCAUGGUGCUUCAAUCCAGGGCUGGCCAGCAGCAGUGCUGUGAUGGGGGCCCAGGUGCUCUUUGGUGUCCUGAACCAUGAUUAUGUGUUUCUGUUGAGAGCUUAUUAUAUACCAGGCAUUGCACUGAGCAUUGUUCAUGGGUUCUCAGACUUAGUCUUCACAACAGUUCUGUGAGCAAUCAUCUAGAAUCAUUCUUGUUUGGAUGAGACACUGCAGUUCAUAAAGGUUAACUUCUCCUAAGUAAUAAGUGGUGGAGCUGGGCCUUGAGCCCAGGUGCUCUGAUGUUGUCUCUUAUCUUCCUUACUCUGUCAGAACUUGACUUCAGUAAUGGCGUUAGAGAGACAUAUUAGUGUCAGGUGUAAAUACCCACCGAGAGGCAGUGUGGUGCAGGGAUCGGGGACAUGGACUGUGGAGUCAGUCUAUCCAACACACGUGGGUUUGAUCCUGGCCCCAAACCUCCCCUGUGUGGAUGAAUAAAUGACCUAACUCUCCAA
ensembl:lncRNA novel transcript, antisense to CDYL